GACGAACGCUGGCGGCGUGCUUAACACAUGCAAGUCGAACGGUAAGGCCCUUCGGGGUACACGAGUGGCGGACGGGUGAGUAACACGUGGGUGAUCUGCCCUGCACUUCGGGAUAAGCCUGGGAAACUGGGUCUAAUACCGGAUAGGACCACUGCCUGCAUGGGUGGUGGUGGGAAGCUUUUGCGGUGUGGGAUGGGCCCGCGGCCUAUCAGCUUGUUGGUGGGGUGACGGCCUACCAAGGCGACGACGGGUAGCCGGCCUGAGAGGGUGACCGGCCACACUGGGACUGAGAUACGGCCCAGACUCCUACGGGAGGCAGCAGUGGGGAAUAUUGCACAAUGGGCGCAAGCCUGAUGCAGCGACGCCGCGUGAGGGAUGACGGCCUUCGGGUUGUAAACCUCUUUCAGCACCGACGAAGCGCAAGUGACGGUAGGUGCAGAAGAAGGACCGGCCAACUACGUGCCAGCAGCCGCCGUAA
rnacentral:rRNA from 1 species